CUGGAUUUUGGGACAUUGUUUUAAGGGGAGCUACCUCUUGACCCACAUCAGUCUGACAUAAGUGAGAAGUAAACCUUCAUGGGGAUAAGUUACCAAGGUUUUUGGAUUGUUAUAGUAUAUAGUGUUUCUUGUCCUGAUUCCUGAAGGAACUUAAUAACUUAACAUACUAACAUAGCACAAGUUUUAAGGAUUUUAAAAUGGAAUCAGGAUGAAUCAGAAUACCCACCACGGUCAGAAGGCCAUGGCUUCAUUCUUGUUUUUUUCAAGUAGGGGUUCCAAGAUGUUUUAAUUCUUGGAUAUACUGAUAAUUUCCUGAGAAAUCUGGAAGAAGGAGGCAUUUCCUCUACUCCCAUUCCCACAGAUAGAUACCUUUUUUGAAUUUUGAUGGUGAAAGAACAGGCUUUAGAAAAGAAUUCCUCUGAUUAUGAUGGUCAGAGGUCGGAUGGAGAAACAAAAGAAGGACAUGUUCACAGAGCUCCCAAGAAUGAUUGAGGUUCUUCUGUGCUAAGUGAAUGUUAGUUUUGUGGACCACCACACUGCUGAUGGGGACUUCAGGACACUACAUUUCUGCUCUAUUCCAUCCCCGCUCAUCUGUGAAAAUGGCAGCAAACACUUCCUUAUGAGAAUGUGGUGAAAAUGGAUUAUGUGGUUGGUGCAUUUGGAAUUCCGCAAAGGAAAUGGGCUGCAAAUCCAGAUCUCAUCACAGGGAGACCAGAGAGACAGCAGUUCAGCAGAGUCAGCUGAGAUGACUGUUUAUCACAUGCUGAGAGGACUGUCAGUUUGGCCAGAGCCACCAACAGACCAUUCACCUUUAAACCUGAGAAGUCAUCAACCCUGCUGGAAAUGAUCAUUUCAGGAAAGCAUGAAAGGCUCCUCUGGGGUCUGAGAUGAGACCUGAAAUGGAAAUACUAGAAAAGACAAGAAGAUGACCCCACCUAAACCUGACAAGAGUUGUCCGACUUCCAGGCUGUCAGAAGAGCUCUUAAGGGUUAUCAACUUUGGGGUGCUAUACAAACAUAAGCAUUUUUCGCUCCCAGUUUCAUUGUUUGUCACUCUGAAAAGGUAUGUCCAUCUCAACAAGGUUUGGGACACUUGACAGAAUGUGGAAACCCAUUAUCAGCUGAGGCCCCCGUGCCCUUUGAUAUCCAGGUAUGAUGGGUUGGGAACUCUAUUCCACACUCCAUGGUCAGUCAAGGAUUUCCUUUUACAUUUCUAUGAAUUCUAAAGAGUUAGGGGAUAAUUAUUUUGGAUUUGAGGGCUUCUUCACCUAAUUAUUCAGUUAUGUGCAUCCAUAUAUGUGACCGUGUUGACCUAGAUGUACAACCGAGCCAUUCCUUAAUCCAUAACAAUCUGCUCUCACAGGCAAAUUUGUGAGCAGCAGACACAUCAAAAGUCUUGAGGAGGCCAAAGUGGGGUUUCACUGGAGCAGGUAACUGUGUCCAACUAAUUAUUAGGUAGCCUCCUUCUAAUCAUUUUGCCCUCCUUCACGGACCCUUGUCUUCCACCACCACCCACCCCCCAAGGCAUUUUUUCAGGACUUCUUUAUUCCAUAUACUGCCUACAGCCUCACAUUAUCUUAUAAGCCUCUGUGCCUUUCCACACUCAGGAAACCUACCCAUUUUUCUCUCCCUCUAUUAAUCAGAGCAGUUCCAUUCUCUUUGACCCUUAUCGCCCAACUCAGCUCUGGUUCUCACCUUGGCAAAUCCAAAUCACACCCAAUAUUCAAUGGGGGAAGAAAAA
ensembl:lncRNA